GAGAAGAACGUAGCGAAAUGCGAUAAGUAGUGUGAAUUGCAGAAUUCAGUGAAUCAUCGAAUCUUUGAACGCACAUUGCGGCCAUAGGUAUUCCUUUGGCCAUGCCUGUUCGAGCGUCAUUUACACCCUCAAGCCUAGCUUGGUGUUGGGCGUCUGUCCCGCCGUUUUCGCGCGCGGACUCGCCUCAAAGUCAUUGGCGGCGGUCGUGCCGGCCCCCUCGCGCAGCACAUUUGCGCUUCUCGGAGGCCCGGCGGAUCCGCGCUCCAGCAAGACCUUUCACGACUUGACCUCGGAUCAGGUAGGGAUACCCGCUGAACUUAAGCAUAUCAAUAAGCGGAGGA
rnacentral:misc_RNA from 1 species